AUGAAGGUCACAGGAAAAGGACUCUCCAAGCAGUGCCUCUCCACCCUCUCCCAGGGAGUCUUACAAAUCUACCCCCAUCUGCACCCACCUCGUAACUACCUCUCCUGGCCCAUCCAGGCUGGAAUGCAAUGGCGUGAUCUCAGCUCACUGCAACCUCGACCUCCCGAGUUCAAGCAUUCUUCUGCCUCAGCCUCCCAAGUAGCUGGGAUUUCAGCUUUCCCUGCAUUUCCUCAUCCUCCUUCCUACUGCCAACUUGUGAGGGCCGCAUUCUACAGAUGCCUCCCCCACCAUCCCCUCCAAGAGUUAUUCAAACACUAACCUCAGUGCUUCUGUGAAGGAUUUUGCAGCGAUAUUAAAGUCUCACAGCAGCUGACAUCAAGAUCCAGGUGUGCCUCAUGUAGUCACAGGAGCCCCUUAAAAGCAGAGUUUUCUCCGCUUUCAGAAAAGAAAAGAAAAAAAGCACAGGUAAGACCAGAGAUGUACCGUUGCUGGCUUUGAAGAUAGAGGGGCCGCAUGCAGAGAAAUGAGGCAUGUGGAAGCUGGGUGUGGCCCCCAAGAAUCAGCCACCAAGAAAUGAGAACUUCAGUCCUACAACCACAAGACAUCGAAUUCUGUCAACAACCUGAAUGAGCUGGGAGAGAACCCCCGACCCCUGGAUGAGGCUGCAGCCACAGCCAAUAACUACAUUUCCCAGUGAGGCCUUGAGAACACCAUCUAGCAGGCCCACAGAAACUGUGAGAGAAUCAGUGGUAACGUUGCUCUUUGAUUUGUGGUCAUUUGUUAAGCAGCAACAGAAAAGGAAGACACAAUUUCUUAGAACAGAUUAUCUUCCCUUGUCACCUUUUUUAACUAGCACCAGUGGAAUUCCUUCCAAUCCGUGAUGAGAGGUGGUUUUCUAAAAUGCAAAUCUAGUGUCGUCAUUCUUUCUCCCAACAUUUCAGAGGCUUUCGUUUCUCAAAUCCUUUACUGAGCUCUCAAGGCCCUUCAGAGUUGGACUUCCACCAGCCUUUCUGGCUUCCCUCUUGUACAUCACAAAUACCUUUCUCUCCCACCCACAAAGCAGACCGCACUCUCCGAAUGGAGAUGCAGUCUCCUGUUCUUCACCCAUGUGACCCUGCCUGGACGUCCUUCCAUCCUUCUCACUAUACAGAUAAUUCCCACUCAUCCAUCAAAAUGGAGCUUUCUGCUACUGCCUUCGGAAAGCCUUCCUUGACAUAUUCAGUUUGAUUUCCAUGUUUCUCUUUGCUGUUUUCAUAGCAUUCAUUUUUGCAUCUAUCAUAAGAGCUGACAAUAUGUGCAGACGGCGUUCUAAGUGAUUCUGUCUGAAAGCUUGCUUCCACUUCAUAGGAAUGAUUUUCAAGUCACAAUAACCUUGUUACUAUUAUCUCCACUUUUAUGGCAACUGCUGUAGUUGGGAUGUUUGCCCCCUCCAAACCUCAUGUUAAAAUUUGAUUCCCGGCGUUGGAGGUGAGGCCUGAUGGGAGGUGUUCGGGUCAUCGGGACGGAUCCCUCAGUAUGUCUUGGUGCUGUCCUUGGAACAAUGAGUGAGUUCUUGUGCUGUUAGCCCCCACAAGGACUGAUUGUGGAACAGGGCCUAGUUCCUGUUCCUCUCUCUCUCUCCAUGUAAUCUCUACAUGCUGACUCCCCUUUACCGUCCACCACAAGUGGAAGCAGCCUGAAGCCCUUGCCAGAAGCAGAUGCUGGCACCAUGCUUCUUGUGCAGCCUGCAAAACCAUGAGCCAAAUAAACCUCCAUCCUUUAUAAAUUAGUUGGCCUCA
rnacentral:lncRNA from 13 species